GACUUCGUGGUCGAGUCGUAAGGACACUUGCCUCUCACUCUGGAGUCACGGGUUCGAUUCCAGGUCGAGGAGUUA